rnacentral:rRNA from 1 species
CAGUCGCCACGGUAAUACGAAGGGGGCUAGCGUUGCUCGGAAUGACUGGGCGUAAAGGGCGCGUAGGCGGUUCAGAUAGUUAGAUGUGAAAUUCCCGGGCUUAACCUGGGGACUGCAUUUGAUACUUCUGGGCUUGAGUGUGGAAGAGGGUCGUGGAAUUCCCAGUGUAGAGGUGAAAUUCGUAGAUAUUGGGAAGAACACCGGUGGCGAAGGCGGCGACCUGGUCCAUAACUGACGCUGAGGCGCGAAAGCGUGGGGAGCAAACAGGAUUAGAUACCCGGGUAGUCCCUGUCUCUUAUAC